AUGAUGUCACUGAGAACUGCCGUAGACUACCUGCUGUACAGAUUUCCUUACAUUGACCAGAUUUGAGGGUGACACUUUCAGAAGAGUCUCCUGUUUAAGAGUGGAAACCUUUACAUACUAAAUCUCUCUAAAGGACCUUUUAUACUUGACAAAAAGAGUGAAGGUCAUGAUGCCUAAUGAUGAUGUCACUGAAAACUCUCAUGGACUACCUGAUGAACAACUUUCCUUACAUUGACAAGAUUCAAGUUUGCACUUUAAAGGCUCCACCAAGGGACGACUGACACUGAAGCAGACGCGCACGGUCAAAUAUCAGAUGGAGCUCAGUGAGUCUCACUGAAGAACUGAAGGAAGGACUGAGAGAGGUUCUUCUUGAAAUUGUUUGAAGAAGUGAAAACUGGUAUGUGUUUAUUUGUUCACAUUCAUAAAGCAUGGCCAUUGCUCUAGUGAUGGACAGAUGGCACAACUUUUAAGAGGCAAACUGACUUUCUUCCCAAAGAAAUAAAUCUUCAACUUCAUGGAGGCAGUUUCAUUCUUAGGUACAAAUGUUUAAAAUCCCCUGAGAAUGCUUCCUACAGCUAUCAUUUCCUGUAUAUUGUAAUAUCCUCGGAAAUGGGUUUUCUCUUUGCAUUUUGUUUCAAGUAUUAAGAUCUACAAGAAAGUUUUGAUUGCGUGUAUCAUUUGGAGAUGUUGUCUUUUUUUCUUUCCUAUAGAUGGAUUCUGGGUUGUAGACUCUCAGGCAUUUUAUGAUCCAUCUCUCACAAUAGGGGCUGCAAAUGACAUGAGUCUUCAUCAGGAAUAAAGGAAAGAAGACAGGUAAAGUAAUAGAGAACUCCCUGAUGUAUUUAUCGCCUCUGAGUCUGAGAUGACUGUUGUCAUUAACUGUAUAUAUAAACUUUAACUUUGAAACAAAGUACACUCCCAUGAGUUUCAGCCUUUGUACUUUUCAUUGUGUAAAUAUUUGCAAUAAAGAGAGCAUUAAAAGUAAUAAAGUUGUGUGAUGUGUAUAACUCUUUUAACAGUUUCCCUUGUAUAACUUAAUAGAAUAUAUAAAUGCUUUUCCUUCAUGGUAAAUGUAAUGAAGACAAUGUCUCUUCUAACAAUAUAUGUAGUAAUUUUGACCUCUAUAAAAUUUAAUAUGUGCAUAACUUGCCUAAACAUCCACCGCAAAUACUUAUGGGAUACUUUCUAUACUUACUCAGUGUUUUUUCCUAAAUAUUGUGUUAAAAUGCAUUUAGCAGAAUAGAUAUUGUGGUGGAUGCAGGGAGGAAGGAAACUGAAUGGGACGGGAAGUAGAGAAAGUAAUGGGUAGGAGGAAAUAGGUAUAGUGGUUUUGCAGGAAUUAGGUAUAGUGGGUUUGGAGGAAUUAGGUAUAGUGAAUCCAUGGAAAAGGGAAUGGAAAACACAAGUGUUGGGUGGGCAUCUCUAGGAAGUGCCAGAGACCUGGGAAAGGCAAAUCCCCAGGGAUCUAUUGAUGUGACUCUAGCACUGGGGAUACAGAUCCUUAAUAUGCCACUUCUGUAGACAGGCAUGACUCCCAGUGGUGUGACAAGGAAAAAAAAACACCCACAGAACCUUCAAUCCAACAUGAA